GUUUCAAGUGAUAACCAUAUAAGAAACGUUUUUCUUAUUACUUAUAUCAUUAUAAUGUGAUCUUCCUUUUCAUCAAGAAAGGAUUCUCUAGACUUUUGUCAAUUCAUAUAGAACCCAUAGGUAGACAAAUGGAACCAAAUCUAAAGAUUCAUUGUAUCCUUUUAUGUCCUACAUGUGAGAUCUAUCCAUAAUUGAUAAAUCUAAAGUUUGGUUAUCACAUUACAAUAAGUGAUAUAACACUUGUAUCUCAUCUAGGAUACAACAAGACAAUUUUCAAUUCAUAACACUACUUUAAGGAAAUAGUAUAUUGAAAAGGCAUUCUUCACAUUACAUUAAUAUGAUAAUUCAAACAUUCAUAAUGUUUAAUACAAAAAGUAUUAGCUCUAUACAUUUAGAGACUAAUUUAAAUACCUUUAUACAUUUAGGCACUAAUAGUGGUCUUCCAUCAUAUGAAGCCACAUAAUAAGUUCUUAUCAAAAUAAGAAAGUUUAAAGACUAUCUUUAAAUGCCUAACAAACUUCCUAAGUAGUAAGCAAAAACAUGGUGGCCAAACUCUUCUCCACACUUUUCCUUGCUUGUUCCUCUUCUACUUGGCUCCUCCACCUAUAUACAAUUACACAAGUGAUUAGUCCUUUAUAUCAAAUAUAAAUAUUUAGAAGAUCUAACAAUCAAAAUUGAAGAUAAGAACAUAAACCAUACCUUGUGGCUUGUCCUUAAGAGUUGCAAGGUAUAACCUGCAAUUCCUCUUCCAAUGCCCCUCCUUUCCACAGUGGUGGCAAGUCCCCUUGGGCUCCAUUGCCUUCUUUUUCUUCACUCCUCCUUUCGGCUUAGGAGUGGGUGACUUCUUCUCCUUCCCUUUGCCUUGCGGCUUGGCCUUGGAAGAUGAUGGCUUGUUGUAGACUACUGCAGAAGUCCCUACAACGUUCUCUUUCUUCAUAGUCUUCUCGGUAGUUACUAACAUAUUUAGUAACUCAGAGAGAGUACUAUCCAUCUUAUUCAUAUUGUAGUUCAUUA
rnacentral:lncRNA from 1 species